rnacentral:rRNA from 2 species
GGCGAGUGGCGAACGGGUGAGUAAUACAUCGGAACGUGUCCUGGAGUGGGGGAUAGCCCGGCGAAAGCCGGAUUAAUACCGCAUACGCUCUGUGGAGGAAAGCGGGGGAUCUUUCGGGACCUCGCGCUCAAGGGGCGGCCGAUGGCAGAUUAGGUAGUUGGUGGGGUAAAGGCCUACCAAGCCGACGAUCUGUAGCUGGUCUGAGAGGACGACCAGCCACACUGGGACUGAGACACGGCCCAGACUCCUACGGGAGGCAGCAGUGGGGAAUUUUGGACAAUGGGCGCAAGCCUGAUCCAGCAAUGCCGCGUGUGUGAAGAAGGCCUUCGGGUUGUAAAGCACUUUUGUCCGGAAAGAAAACCUCUGGGUUAAUACCCUGGGGGGAUGACGGUACCGGAAGAAUAAGCACCGGCUAACUACGUGCCAGCAGCCGCGGUAAUACGUAGGGUGCGAGCGUUAAUCGGAAUUACUGGGCGUAAAGCGUGCGCAGGCGGUGAUGUAAGACCGAUGUGAAAUCCCCGGGCUUAACCUGGGAACUGCAUUGGUGACUGCAUCGCUCGAGUAUGGCAGAGGGGGGUAGAAUCCACGUGUAGCAGUGAAAUGCGUAGAGAUGUGGAGGAAUACCGAUGGCGAAGGCAGCCCCCUGGGUCAAUACUGACGCUCAUGCA